rnacentral:other from 1 species
GUCUGAGCGUUACUUCCAUUAAAACAAGGAUUGAAAC